GAUUAUGGCUCAGGAUGAACGCUAGCUACAGGCUUAACACAUGCAAGUCGAGGGGUAGCAGGGUAGCAAUACCGCUGACGACCGGCGCACGGGUGAGUAACACGUAUCCAACCUUCCCAUAACUCAGGGAUAGCCUUUCGAAAGAAAGAUUAAUACCUGAUAGUACUUUUUCAAGGCAUCUUGAAAAAGUUAAAGAUUUAUUGGUUAUGGAUGGGAUGCGUUCCAUUAGAUAGUUGGUGAGGUAACGGCUCACCAAGUCUUCGAUGGAUAGGGGUUCUGAGAGGAAGGUCCCCCACAUUGGUACUGAGACACGGACCAAACUCCUACGGGAGGCAGCAGUGAGGAAUAUUGGUCAAUGGGCGAGAGCCUGAACCAGCCAAGUAGCGUGAAGGAAUGAAGGUCCUAUGGAUUGUAAACUUCUUUUAUAGUAGAAUAAAGUGAUCCACGUGUGGAUUUUUGUAUGUAUACUAUGAAUAAGGAUCGGCUAACUCCGUGCCAGCCGCGGC
rnacentral:rRNA from 1 species